rnacentral:rRNA from 1 species
AGCGAACGCUGGCGGCAGGCCUAACACAUGCCAGUCGAACGAACUCUUCGGAGUUAGUGGCGGACGGGUGAGUAACACGUGGGAACGUGCCUUUAGGUUCGGAAUAACUCAGGGAAACUUGUGCUAAUACCGAAUGUGCCCUUCGGGGGAAAGAUUUAUCGCCUUUAGAGCGGCCCGCGUCUGAUUAGCUAGUUGGUGAGGUAAAGGCUCACCAAGGCGACGAUCAGUAGCUGGUCUGAGAGGAUGAUCAGCCACAGUGGGACUGAGACACGGCCCAAACUCCUACGGGAGGCAGCAGUGGGGAAUCUUGCGCAAUGGGCGAAAGCCUGACGCAGCCAUGCCGCGUGAAUGAUGAAGGUCUUAGGAUUGUAAAAUUCUUUCACCGGGGACGAUAAUGACGGUACCCGGAGAAGAAGCCCCGGCUAACUUCGUG